AACUGAUACUACCUGCGGGAACCUGCGGAAGGAUCAUUACCGAGUUUACAACUCCCAAACCCAAUGUGAACGUUACCAAACUGUUGCCUCGGCGGGAUCUCUGCCCCGGGUGCGUCGCAGCCCCGGACCAAGGCGCCCGCCGGAGGACCAACCAAAAACUCUUUUGUAUACCCCCUCGCGGGUUUUUAUUAUCUGAGCCAUCUCGGCGCCUCUCGUAGGCGUUUCGAAAAUGAAUCAAAA
rnacentral:misc_RNA from 1 species